AUACGAAGGGUGCUAGCGUUGUUCGGAAUUACUGGGCGUAAAGAGCAUGUAGGCGGAUAGAUUAGUCAGAGGUGAAAGCCCCGAGCUCCACUCGGGAACUGCCUUUGAUACUGUUUAUCUAGAGACCGAGAGAGGUGAGUGGAAUUCUCAGUGUAGAGGUGAAAUUCGUAGAUAUUGGGAAGAACACCAGUGGCGAAGGCGGCUCACUGGCUCGGAACUGACGCUGAGAUGCGAAAGCGUGGGGAGCGAACAGGAUUAGAUACCAUAGUAGUCC
rnacentral:rRNA from 1 species